rnacentral:pre_miRNA from 1 species
AUGAUUCUUACAUGGUCGUCCUGAAAACACAUGUAAUUACGUUGUUUACGUAGCAUUCAACAUGUGUUCUCAGGUCGCCCCUGCAGGCUUCUU